rnacentral:rRNA from 1 species
GAUGAACGCUGGCGGCGUGCCUCAAACAUGCAAGUCGAGCGGGGCUAUGUAAUAUCGCAAGGUAGAACAUAGCCUAGCGGCGAACGGGUGAGUAACACGUGGGUAACCUGCCUGGAAGACAGGGAUAACGAUUCGAAAGGGUCGCUAAUACCUGAUAAUAUCCUUUCAUCGCAUGGUGAUAGGAAGAAAGGGGAAACCCGCUUUCAGAUGGGCCCGCGUCCCAUCAGCUAGUUGGUAAGGUAAAGGCUUACCAAGGCGACGACGGGUAGCCGGUCUGAGAGGAUGUACGGCCACACUGGGACUGAGAUACGGCCCAGACUCCUACGGGAGGCAGCAGUUGGGAAUCUUAGGCAAUGGACGAAAGUCUGACCUAGCGACGCCGCGUGAGGGAGGAAGGCCUUCGGGUUGUAAACCUCUGUCAUGGGGGAAGAAGGAAGUGACGGUACCCCAAGAGGAAGCCCCUGCUAACUACGUG